rnacentral:rRNA from 1 species
AUUGAACGCUGGCGGCAGGCCUAACACAUGCAAGUCGAGCGAGUGGCGGACGGGUGAGUAAUGCUUGGGAAUCUAGCUUAUGGAGGGGGAUAACUACGGGAAACUGUAGCUAAUACCGCGUACUAUAGGAAGAGCCCACGUGGGAUUAGGUAGUUGGGGAGGUAAAGGCUCACCUAGGCGACGAUCUCUAGCUGGUCUGAGAGGAUGAUCAGCCACACUGGGACGGAGACACGGCCCAGACUCCUACGGGAGGCAGCAGUGGGGAAUCUUGCACAAUGGGCGCAAGCCUGAUGCAGCCAUGCCGCGUGUAUGAAGAAGGCCUUAGGGUUGUAAAGUACUUUCAGCGGGGAGGCGUUACCCGCAGAAGAAGCACCGGCUAACUCCGUGCCAGCAGCCGCGGUAAUAC